rnacentral:lncRNA from 1 species
AAAAAUGUGGUGUGUAGGAAAAAACCCCACCAAAUUUGGCCUUAUGGUUUGAGAGAUAUGGCCCUUUGAAGUUCCAAAAUUGAUGAAAAUGAUUUGAUCAUAUCUUGACAACCACACAUGGGAUUUUGAUGUUCUUGGACUUUUUGAAAAUGGGAAGACAAGAUCUUCAACUUUCAUGUUGGGCAAAAAUUCAUUUGAAGCUUGUAUCAUGAUGUAAGUUUAAGAUCAAGAAGUUUCCAUUUUUGGCAGUUGAAAUUACA